GUCCACGCCCUAAACGAUGAUGACUAGUUGUUGGAGGAGUUAAAUCCUUUAGUAACGCAGCUAACGCGUGAAGUCAUCCGCCUGGGGAGUACGGUCGCAAGAUUAAAACUCAAAGGAAUUGACGGGGCCCGCACAAGCGGUGGAUGAUGUGGUUUAAUUCGAUGCAACGCGAAAAACCUUACCUACCCUUGACAUGUCAGGAACGCUGCAGAGAUGCAGCGGUGCCCGAAAGGGAACCUGAACACAGGUGCUGCAUGGCUGUCGU
rnacentral:rRNA from 1 species